UACGAAGGGGGCUAGCGUCGCUCGGAAUCACUGGGCGUAAAGGGUGCGUAGGCGGGUCUUUAAGUCAGGGGUGAAAUCCUGGAGCUCAACUCCAGAACUGCCUUUGAUACUGAAGAUCUUGAGUUCGGGAGAGGUGAGUGGAACUGGCGAGUGUAGAGGUGAAAUUCGUAGAUAUUCGCAAGAACACCAGUGGCGAAGGCGGCUCACUGGCCCGAUACUGACGCUGAGGCACGAAAGCGUGGGGAGCGAACGGG
rnacentral:rRNA from 1 species